CUGGCCAUUCUGUCACACUACUCAGCCAGCCCGCUCUAUCUCUUUCCUCUAUCCAAGCCAGAAAGGUAGAAACCCCCCGGAAACAAUUUCCGGCCAUGGCGACCGCAGCCCACCAGGUUGCCGCCACCUUCCUCUCGUUCCUUUCCUCCUCCACUCACCACCUCGCCCCUUCCUCCGUCUCCCUCGGGACAACCUCUGUCCUACCCGUCUCCCUUCGGGCCGCUGGCACACGUGGCCCACGGCUCGCCUACCGCCUCCGGGGCCGCCGCGUCGGUGCCGCCGUCGCCCAGCUCCCCACCACGCAUCCAGAGGUAGUUUCUGGGGAGAAGAAGAUCAGAUGGUCAUCAAGGGCUGUGCGGUCUUUUGCGAUGGCAGAGCUGGAGGCCCGGAAGAUGAGGUACCCUACGACAGGCACUGAGGGGCUCCUCAUGGGCAUUCUUGUUGAAGGAACUAGUGGUGCAGCAAAACUUUUGCGGGCUAAUGGAAUCACACUUCUCAAAGUGCGUGAGGAGGCAGCGAAUGUGCUUGGGAAAUCAGAAAUGUUUUACUUUAGUCCCAUGCAUCCACCAUUGACAGAAGCUGCACAGCGAGCCCUUGAUUGGGCUGUCAAUGAAAAAUUGAAAUCAGCAUAUCACCAUUUGAUGAUAUAUUCCAGGAUGAGUGCCCAUUUGACUUACAACAGGACCAUUGUUUGUUCCAUGUAUUGUAAACCAAACACCGUCUUAUAAUCUUAGUUUUGGUGAUUUGUUCUUUUUUUUUUGAGUGUUUAGGUGAGGAUGGAGAAGUAAAUGCCAAUCAUUUGCUACUGGGGAUAUGGUCAGAUGACGAGUCAGCUGGUCAUAAAAUCCUGUAUUCGCUCGGAUUUGACGAUGUGAAAGCCAGUUUACUGGCCAAAACGGCUGACGAGGAGGCUGCAAUGAGUCCUAGAUAGCAAAGGGAGCACCUAAUCUGUUAUUCAACUUACAAGAGAUGUGUUAGGGUCAACUUACAAGCGAUUGCCAUGCCGGUGCCUGUAAAAACGUUGCGGUUUGUUUGCCACGGUGAAUGCUUGUGUUCCUUUCUCAGCUGGAUUUGUGAUCAGCUCAUAGAAAAAGAAAAAAAACUUGUAGGGUCCAGUGGGCCUGACGAGCCCUUCAAAUUUUUUGUUCAAUUUGCAGCCUGAAUCCUAACAGGCGAGAAUUUCAUGUGAACUGUGAUAUUACACAGAACUCUUAGUUUCUAGAGACUAAUUUUAGUCCUUCCAUUUUAUUUCA